GGUCGGAGCUGUAAUGCAGCGGGCAGUAUCCAGUGGAAAUUCGGGGCAGCUUCUGUAUGAAGCACCAGUAGGUGGUCUCUUGACUCGGUAUGAUGACGUUCGGCGCCAGGACCUCCAGCGUCCGCACAUCUGGAGGCAGUGUGGGUGAGGGCGUGUCGGGCCGCAGCAUCAGCACUCUCUGUAGCCCGGUGUGGAUCCGGGACAGGUUCAGCUGCUCCAGAGAGAGCAAUAAAAAUACUACAAAACACAGAUACACACCCUCCCACGCACACAUGGGCACGGUGCAAACACACUUGUCUCUAGGUUACACACAUGCGCGCACCCAAACCCCAUCUUUCCCGCCCUCCUCCAGUGUCAUCUGCUUCUACUCGCCACCUGUUACCUGUCAAGUUCAGUCAGUUCAGGAUUGACAGACGUGAUUCUGGCUUGUGGCAGAGUGUGACAUAUAAAAGCGAGAUGUGUGCUCGCCCUUUACAUUCCU